rnacentral:rRNA from 1 species
UACGAAGGGUGCUAGCGUUGUUCGGAAUGACUGGGCGUAAAGGGAGCGUAGGCGGUUGAGUACGUUUGGCGUGAAAGUCCUGGGCUUAACCUGGGGACUGCAUUGAAUACGGCUUGACUUGAGGUAUAGAGGGAAGAUGGAAUUGUGUGUGUAGAGGUGAAAUUCGUAGAUAUACACAAGAACACCAGUGGCGAAGGCGAUCUUCUGGCUAUUACCUGACGCUAAGGCUCGAAAGCGUGGGGAGCAACAGG